GCUCCAUUGGAUUUGUUUCUGAAGCUCCAUCGAGCUCAAGAAGCUGUGGAUCUUCUCCAUUAGGUAAAUCUUUUUCUCAAUUCACCUUUUCCAUUUUUGAGAUUCAUAUGCUAUAAACUGCUUGAGGGUGAUAUAUGAAGUUGAUUCACCAUGUUGGUUUUGUCUGAUUACUUGAAUAUAAGAUGAUUGAGCUUGCUGAAAUUCUUGAAACAAU
rnacentral:lncRNA from 1 species